GACGAACGCUGGCGGCGUGCUUAACACAUGCAAGUCGAACGGAAAGGCCCUGCUUUUGUGGGGUGCUCGAGUGGCGAACGGGUGAGUAACACGUGAGUAACCUGCCCUUGACUUUGGGAUAACUUCAGGAAACUGGGUCUAAUACCGGAUAGUAGCUCCUGCUGCAUGGUGGGGGUUGGAAAGUUUCGGCGGUUGGGGAUGGACUCGCGGCUUAUCAGCUUGUUGGUGGGGUAGUGGCUUACCAAGGCUUUGACGGGUAGCCGGCCUGAGAGGGUGACCGGCCAAAUUGGGAAUGAGAUACGGCCCAGACUCCUACGGGAGGCAGCAGUGGGGAAUAUUGCACAAUGGGCGGAAGACUGAUGCAGAAACGCCGCGUGCGGGAUGACGGCCUUCGGGUUGUAAAACGCUUUCGCCUGUGACGAAGAGUGAGUGACGGUAAUGGGUAAAGAAGCACCGGCUAACUACGUG
rnacentral:rRNA from 1 species